rnacentral:lncRNA from 1 species
AUAAUUCAGUUUUUCUCUGUUUAACUUGGCAGAGUGCAGGUUGCCCAUGUUUCGGAAUGUCUGUUUGAACAUUUCACUAUACGUUAAUAUUUCGUGAUCUUCUUAUUAUGGUGACCUUAUGGGCCGGCAUAACAUUGACGGAUUGCGGGCAGAUUCGUCGGACUUAUUUUCAUUAUUUUAGGAUUUAAUAAAAAAUUGUCAAUAUCAAUAUUUUUCUUUAAUUUGAAUAAUUACACUUUCAUUUAUGCAAAAUAUAGUCAUUUGAUUAUUUGAAAGCGUCACGCUUAGGUGGUGGCCUUCUGUGGAUUUUUUGACACUGUCAUUUUUUGAGUUCCGGUGAAUCUACAUUUGAGUUUCUUUAUUAAAGAUACCACGUUAAGCUUUCUUUGUGAUCUGAACAGCCGACCGUUCAAGUUGGCUUAGGCCAUAUUUAGUGCCGGCCAGUAUUUUUGAGGUUCUUUUUAAAUUAAGAAGGGGUAAUCCACAGCCAAGGUCAUCGGCUGCUAUAUUCAGACAGUAUUUAAUCUGCUCUAUUUAAGAUUUAUUCAAUCAGCUAUUUAAUCUGCCAUUAUUAUAAGCUGCUUAUUUGAACUGUACUGAAUUUACCUUACACUGAGGCUGACUUUGAGUUACCUAAAAGUACAAAGGGGGCAAGCGAGUAAUACCAAGUAGGUUCCACACCACCAGGAAAUGGUACCAAUAAAUUGUGAUAUCUUUUAUUUUAUGCAAAUUUAUUUAUCUCACUGUCCCUACACACGGAGGUAUGUUAGUGGGUUUACCUUACGAAUCGUGUGUGGCGCCCAAUGAACCACCUUUUUAGACCCACACCCUACCAAAACAAUGGUAACCCUUGGGGGCCAACCGUAAACCCCCCAAGCCAAUCCGUACAAGCUAGCCAACGGGUCUCAGCAAGGCUUAGUAUUUAUAUGGUGUAACCAAAGGUAACAUCAUAAUAUGUUUUUCGUCAAGUGCCUCGAGACAAUGUGGAAAAUUCCAAAGCACAUUAAAUGAAUCCGCUAUGCCUAACCAUUACCUAGUGGAAUUGAAUAAAGACCAAUUUAAGUAAUUUUAAUAUUUAUACGUACUUAUUCAAAUUUACUUGUAAUAAUAAUAUAAUAUUAAGAUCAACUUUUUAAAUCUGCAUUGGAGAAUCUGCAAAAGAAGAGUUCAGGCAAUAUGUUGCUAUGGAAUUAAGAGAACUACGCAGUUACUUUUUAAGAGAAGAUUUAAGACUGAAAUUCGCAAAGCUAUUUCUUGCACAGUAAAGGAGGAAGAGAUACAGUACAGUUCAUCAGCCUUUAAUCUGUCUACUCUCAUGCCAUCUCCUAUUUACGUAGUACCCCAAGAGGCUAAUACCACUUCAUUUUCAUUAAUAUACCCUUCCUACACUAGGUUAAUGUAGAUAUCUUUUAUUAAAAUAAAAAUAUGUAUGUUUACCUUUAUGUGCGAGCCUUUUAAUACAUUGUAAAUUGCAGGCGCUACCUAUAGAUAUUCUACCCAUAGUACCAAUAGGUACUUAGAACAAAUAUUGCAGACUGCUAUAAGAAGCACCUGAAAAUUACGUACGUCAUCGAGUUUCGACGUAUCAUCUGUGUACAUAAUAAUAACCUUAUGUUAAAGGACGUAAGGCGCUACCUAUAGAUAUUCUACCCAUAGUACCAAUAGGUACUUAGAACAAAUAUUGCAGACUGCUAUAAGAAUCACCUGAAAAUUACGUAUGUCAUCGAGUUUCGACGUAUCAUCUGUGUACAUAAUAAUAACCUUAUGUUAAAGGACGUAAGAGCCCACCGAGCAAUCAAAAUACUGAGGUCCACAUUCCUAAUGAUACGGAAGAUCCAGUUAACACAUUGUUAUCAAAGGUGUGUGCACAAUUAGAAAAUCGGGAGGACUAGUUCGAUUCUACAGGCAAAGCUAUCCAAACUACGAAACUUGCAAAAUAAACAGCAAAUAUUUGCUGAGAAGCUAAUUAAGGAUACGUUGUUUGAAGCUGAACUGUGUUGCUUAAAUUGAAAUUCUAAAUUGGUAGUCGAAGCCGAAUCGAUAGUCGAACUGUGGGAAAUUUUCAUGAUUUGCAACCGUUUAGCCAAUAAUGUCCUGUAAUAAUGAUUUACCAACACGUCAAAUUAGAUAUACAGGGGGACGUUUAAUUAUGCAUUUACUGAAGUUCUGUCAAUCACCUCCUCACCUCCAGCUAACCUCACUUUAAUAUGCCAAAUCGGAACCCCCAUCGUGUGAUACAUCAUAGUAAGCAGCGUAAAAAAGCAGAAUAAAAUUCUCUAUUCAACGGUAUCAAAAAAAAUGAAAUCGGUAAAUAUGUAAGCAAAUAGUUAGCGAAAAUAUCUAGAAAUAAUGAAUAUUUUAUUUACGCCAAACUUUGGU